ensembl:lncRNA
CUGCAGAGUAAGCCUCAUAUUUGCUCUCCGUGGCCACUCUGCCUGCUUGGCUUUCAGUGGCCUGCAGACUUUAAAAGCAUCCACCACACACUCAGCUGUCUACUUUCUGUCUCCUUUCCUCCCCGCUGGUUGAUCUCAUGCCAGUCAAUUGCUGCUUUCUAAAGCCGCCAAGAGAAUCAGAAUGUUUGGAUUUAACUCUGGAUAACUUUCCUGCAGCGGUCAUCAUUACAUAAACUACCAGCGUUGCAGCUUUGCAUCCAAUGUGCUCACGAUGAGUCGGAAACAUGCACUGCAGGAGUUUCCCUUGAAAGCUUGGAUCAAAGUUGACUGAUAAUAAUCACACAACAGAAGAUGAGAGCUCAGCCCUCGUGUGCCGUGGAUACGAACUCCACCUCGCUAUGGUUACUGGCAGCCAAACAGCAGUCAACAGUGCAGCGAACCGGAGGCGAUCCGUCGCCUGCCAGACCAAACUCCAUUUGAGCGAGCUCGUAUCUGCUCUGCAUCAACCCCUGCAGCACACGGCACAUUUUUCACCCUUAGGAUUGAAUUCUAUUUGCUCUCUACUGUUACGAGCCCCACACUGCUAAAUCAGCAGAUAUGCAGAACACUUGAAUCCAACAUUCAUGCUCCGCAUCCCCAAGUAAAUGUUUCCGAGGAAUGUUCUACUUCUUAGGCCCCACGAAUUUGAUUAUGGAGCACGUACACAGUGUGUUUAUAAACAACAAAUAACAUCCCUCCUGCAAGCUGGAGAC